ensembl:lncRNA
UGUGGUUCGGUGGCAGUGGCUGCAGCUCUCAGUGAGGUCUCGUGGUGUUGGUCAGAGAUGUUGGAUGAAAUGUGACUUUUCCUGUGCUUCUUCCUUGAACGUGGUUGUUCACAAAUGUCUGUGCUGCCAAAAAGUCAUGAUGUGAAUAAGGUGUGAUUGUGAGGUGAGGGAUAUCUCUCUCUGAUACGAGAAAGCUCAUGGAAGUCUGGUAAAGAGACACAAUCAGAUCUUUGUGUUGAAUAUCUGAUUGCAACUCUAUACAUUCCAUUUGAAAAUUCACAGGUAAUAUUUUUAUAUUGACUGAAAAUGGAAUCACAAAUAUGCAAAAAAAAUUGAUUUUUUCAGCAAUCUUGAAACCUCUUCUCAAAUUCCUGUACCUAAACAGAAAGCACAGUGCAUAUUUUUUGCUGCUCACAGGACUGUGUUUAGCCAAUGCAUCACAGUGCACACUGUCAUUGGCCAUCACUGGGGCCAGCACUGCCAUGUGCGUCCCCGUGCCCUGGGUUCAGUGCACACAGUGCCCAUCACACAGCGCUGUGUGGCUGCUGGGAGCAAUGGGUGCCCAGGGCUGGGCCACUCGAUGGGGUAGAGCUGACACUGGAUGGUGUGGGGCAAGGGGUGGCCAAUGGGCCAUGGGUUGGACAGGACUGAUAUGUAGCAUCACCUUUUAGCUCCUAAUUAGGCUUCGAUAUCUUUUUUUGGCUGCAAGAUACUCCAGUUAUCACAUUCCUGUUUUAUACUGAUUAUAAUAGCUCAUUCCUCCUUGUGAGCCAUUUAGGCUGAAGUUUGAAGUGUCUCAAGGUGAGCUGUGAGUUAUCUUUGAGGAGAACCAUGGAAAUACAUCAGAUUUGGAGAGCAGAAGCUGUGUGUUGGACUCCAUAGCACAGGGAGAAGCAGAUGCUCAGCCCUUUAGCUACAUGUGUAUCUUCAGAAUGGGGAUUUCAAAAGGAAGAUAAACUAACAUUCUCUAGUGAUCAAAGCUUUGAAUAAUUUUUUUCUGAAUAAUCUUGAAUCUUCCUCCUGUAUUUUUAAUCGAUUGAUUUUCUCAGCGCUGCUGCCCUAAAGGCCGGUGAGGCAGCAGAGAGAUUUAUGGAUGAUAUUUUCCAAGCUCUGAUGGGACUUUUAAAGAUGCUUAAUUAACUUUGUAUCAAGGCAUUCAAAUCUUCCUGAAGUCUGAGCUGUUGAAAAUCCAGUUCUUAUUAGUUUAUAGUCAGGACCUAUAAAAUCUGAGGCUUUGCUUUCCACACGUCCGCUCUCCUGGGUACCCUGUUGGAGAUGGGGAGACCACCAGUGUCACUGCUCUUCGUACUUUGCCUUUUGUAGGCAAAGAUCUGGGGCUUUCCAUAUGCUGUGUCAUCCUGUGACGAAACAUUGAGGGAAAGUGUAAAAAAUGAAACUGGUUGUGUGGCUGAGAUGGGUAACAAGCAUGUGUCUCCUUGGUAGGGUAUGCAUCUUGUCUGCUUUUAGAUAGUGAGGGGGGAAGGCUGAGCCAAACAUAAACAGCUUUGGGAAGCCGGAAGCACUUUCAAGCCCUCAAAAGAACAAUAUUUGUGGAAAAGCUGGAUAGUUUAUACACAGAAUGAGAGUAUGUGCCUUACCGUCUCCUCCAGAGGAACAAUGCAAACAUAGCGUCUCCAAAACGUUUGUUUUUAUACAAAAGCCACCCAGAGAUGUGAAUGAUGGUUUGUGGCUUUGGCUUUUCUGAUGGAAUGUGCCUGUUUUCAAAGCACGAUGGUUUCAAAGCAUUCUCAGGAGAUAAAGGCCUUUGGGCUUUGAAGCUGAUACUGCAAUUAGGACCAUAUUUAUAUAGAAGUAAACACUGGGGAUGAGAACUCAGAACUUCCUCCUUUCCUACUGUUG